rnacentral:tRNA from 1 species
GCCUGGCUGGCUCAGUUGGAGGAGCGCGUGACUCUUGAUCUGGGGGUUGGGAGUUCGAAUCCCACGCUGGGUG